AAGUGACUUCCUCAGGGUCACACAGUGGUGUCAGUACCAGCAUUUGAACCAACAAGCUCUGGGUUUGCAGCCCAAAACCUUAACUGCUACGCCACACUGCCUGUCUUAAUCAUACAGUUUUCUUUUUUAUGCAUAUUAAUUCACAUAUAGUAUCUUUUGUGAAUUUUAUAUCAAAGUACUAAAUACAAUUUUUGUUUAAGGUGAAGGUGAUGGCAAUGGAGUGGAGACCUAGAACAAAAAAAAACCCUGGAAAAUACCAUAAGAUAAUGCUGGAAGAAGAGCCUCCUAAAUUUUUAAUGAAACCAUUGGAUGGUUAUGAUGAUAUAAUAGAGAAAGCCAAAGAAAUGUUUUGGAAAGAUGACAAAAGAAAUGAAGCUCAGUACACACUGUGCAAUGCGGAUGGAUCAAGAUGGCCCAAAUCAGAUUUUGAGAAGGAGUAUUUCUCAUUAAAUGAAAUUCCAGAUAUAUGGAAGAAAACAUUAUAUGUUGGUCGUAGAGAUUUAGAUGAUGUGAUAUGUGUUGGACAGCUUUCUUUGGCAUCUAAAAGUGAAAACUUAACACAAACAAAAUCCAUGUUAGUGGAGAAUGCAGCAAUGGUACAGACAAGUAUUUACAGAUUAUUAUAAAAUAUUUCUAGAAAUUGUUUAUCAAUAGAGGGAUGAAAUCAUCACAUUAAUAAAAAUAAAAACAUUACUUUUUAACAGGAUAAUCCAAUUUUGCAGGAAACCUCAGGUUUGUAGAAUUUAAAAUUUUAUACAUUUAUUUUCUUAGACUUAUUCAUCAGUGUAACAUGUUCUUAAUACUUUACAGGCCAUUUGAAGAAAAGUUCCACCAGUUGUAAGAGAAAACCAACAAUGGACAACUUACAAGCACAACUUUCAGGAAGCUUUUCCUUUGAGCUGAUGGUGUCAUCUAGUAAAAAACAUUGUUCACUGGCAAUUGCUGAAAAUAUGGAAGAUGGUUCAUUAAAGUCUGAUGUUCAAACACCUCCUCAUUAUGCAAUUCCUCCAGUGUACAUGCCACGAGUUCCAUAUGUUGAUGAUGGACAAAUCAAAUUCAAUCCUGAUUUGGCUGUGGG